CUCUGCCUGUGUCUCUGCCUCUCUCUCUCUGUGUGUCUCUCAUGAAUAAAUAAAUAAGAUCUUUAAAAAAAAAAAAAAGAAAUGGUGUUCCUUGGGCACCAUUAACAGUGGUUAACAGUGAACCUGGUGAGAAGUUGAGAGAUUCUGGAUACACUAUCUAACGCAGAUAGGAUUUGAUUAGCUAGAUGGAUAGCAUGUCAAAGAAACUACCAUAGCAAGAUUAUGAGCCUGAGCAACUGGAAGGAUGGCGUUACCAUUAACUGUGCUUGAGAGGACUUCAGGCAGUUGGAAAUUCUGUCGUGGGUAUUGUCCUUACUUGUGAAGGAGGUGGAGAUCUCUUUAAGUGAAGAGGCUAGCCUUAGUGGGAAGCACGGACAGCUCAUCAUCAGAGUCCAGGCAGACAGGUACAAGCCCAUGCAAGCUCUUCUGUGUAAUUGAUUUUUUUUUUAAAUAGAAGUAUAGUUCACAUACAAUGUUACAUUAGUUUCAGGUGUACAAGGUAGUGAUUUGACAGCUCUAUAUAUUAUGCUAUGCCCUCUCAUGAUGACUUCUUUUUUUUUUUUUUUUCAAUGAAUAGCACUCAGGGUCAUAGGCCAAGAGUGAAUAUGCAGGGAGGAAGUGUUUGAAGUUUGAAGAGACCUUUGUCAAGGAGAGUGGGGGAUGAGUGGAUGAGGAUAGGGAAGUAAAAUUCCUGGGCAGCAUUAAAAGCCCACUGGACCUUAACAUGGUUAUGUGUUUUUCUUCAGCCACCUUAAGGCACACAGGUGCAGAUGUGUAGUUGGAAUUAGCCGUGACUAAAGGUUUGCUGAGUAUGAUGGAAUGAAAGAAGGGGAAAGACAUUUCACAUUCAAGAAAUGCACUUAUCUCACCCUAGGGGUAGAGGAAGUGGGAAGUAACACCCUUUGAAAGGAGAGCCUCAGGGGAAGCUGGGUCUUAGGGGAGAGACAGGUUUCAUUCAGAGCAAAGAAGUAAAGGAAGCUUUCAAAGAGGCUGAGGAUAUGGUGGUGGGGGGUGGGUGGGGUUGUUACUCCUGGUAAGUCUGUUUCAGUGGAGUGCUGUGGCCUGGUUGGAGGGAGUGGGUCAAGGAACAAGUGAGAGAACAGUUGAUAGAAAAAUGGACAGCUCUUUACAAAAUUUUUGCUCUGAAGGUGCUGGAUGAGCUGAAGGUUGAAGGCAAAGUUUGUGUGUGUUUUAAGAUAGAUAUUUUAGUAUGUUUUUAUACCAAGAAAAAAAAAUCCUGUUAAGAGGGUAAACAAUUGCCAAUACAAGAGAAUAAUGGGAUAAAUGUGGUGAUCCUUGCAGAAGCAAAGCCCCUGAGAAGGUCAGAGGGCACUGGACUGAAGGCCUAAGUGGAAGAAUUGGCUUUAGAACCAACUCUGUACAAGGGAAGUGGCAAAGAAGGCUGCAGGCAGGAAGGUUGGUGGGAACGUGAGCUGGAAAGAUUAGUUCUCUUUGGAAUGACUCUCUUUUUAUCUUUUCAAGUAUGAGAGGUUGUCAUCUGGUGGAGGAGGAGAAUGCUGGAGAGCUGAUGAAAGGGUUAGGAGGAACAGUCAUGAUGUUGGAAAAAUGAAUUUACUAAGGAAUUACAGAAAGUUUGUUUCGCAGGAUCGAGUGCCUGCCUGAGAUUUGUGGUUCUAAAUCUGAAGUGAGAUCAGUCAACAGAGUUGUGUAAUGUUUCUCUAUCAAGCCCUGCUGCACAGGUACAGGUGCCAAGCACGUGGCUUCACAAGGGCUGAGGGCUGUCCAGGUGAGAGUGAUGGACGGAGCAAGGUACAAGGGGGUUAGGAUGUUUGUGGUAAAGUGGUGCCAAUGUGAGGCUGCCAUCCAGGCUUCAUAAGGGAGGAAGCAAGGACAGGAACGGGGUUCUGGAUAAUGACAAAGGGUAUUAUGAUCGAGAGGCUGGAGUGAAAGAACCAGUGUAAAUGAACUCCAAGGGUAGAGGACUGGGAACGGAGAGGGGGUGUAUGAGAUUAAGAUUGUGGACAUGGUGCAUUACUGAUUUUUCUCCCUCAAGUGAAAAAAGCCUUAACCAAGUGAAACUUUUAUGAUCAAGGUGAUGUUGCUUUUGGCUACCCUAAAGAAAGCACUUUCUGAUUAUAUCACUGGUUUAGUCAGGCUUUGUUUGGCUAGGAGAGUUAGCGGGAACUUCACAAUUGAUUCCAAUAUAAUGAGUGCUUUAUGUUUUAUCACAGGGAAGCACUAGAUCAUACAGGGGAAAUCUAUAAAUUGUUUUAACAUCAAUACUGAGAGAUACAUUUGGCUUUAACUUUCCACAGAGAACACUGAUCCUUCUGAGUUGAAUGAGGAACAGAGCCAGGAUGGUCCUUUGAUCAUUACACGGUGAACUUUUCACACCACCAUAGGUGUACUGCUGCCAGAAGCGAGGACAACUACACUUAUAUAUGGGAACCUCCCCUGAGAAUUAGUGAUUGCAUUGUUUUCUCUUAUUACAAAAGCAAUGUAUACUCACUAUGGAAUAUAAAGUCAAGAAAAUAAGAUGGAAAGGACUCACUCAGAAGCAAUCAUAAUGAGUAUUUUCUGGGCCCAUUUCAAUGAAGAUAUGUGUACACAGGAACAAAUUACUGAGUUAUUACAGCAAUUAGCCGGCUUCAUGCUACAGGAAUAACAAUGAUAAGGCAGCUGUUAAUAAAGCUUCAUUCAACUGUUCAAACCCACAAAAUUAUAAUUUCCAGGAAAAUAAUCACUGAGCAGUGAGAACUAACAGAUAUAUUGGGUAAAAUGCAGUCAUCUAAAUUGUUCAGAACGGUAAGAGAGUAAAUAUCAGAAUACUUAUUUCAAUAAGAAUAGACAAAAAGGAAAAAGGGAGAAACAUUUAACAGUAUUUUGUAUACAUUAAAAACAUUAAAGCCUAAAAAGUUGUUGAGUCAAUACUUUAUUUUUCUAAUCUUUCAACCUAAUUAUUUUAAGGAAGUCAACUCCACUGUCACUGAGAUACCUGCUCACAGCUAACAAUGACUCUAAUCCCUUCCACCAUCUUUUCUUUCAAUUUAAGCAUAACAGAGACAUGUAUUGCUUGGACAGAGGUUUUCCUGGGAGGCUCUCACACAAAUACAAAAUA